AUGCCCCAAAUACCCUCCUUUUAUAUUGGCAUUGGAUAUGGUUUGUUAGGUGUUUGGGGGGUGUCCAACUUUUGGAUGCCUCCUCCAAAAUUCUAGGCAUGUAAGAUGGCUUGGGCGUCGAGUUUUUUGCAUGAACUCCUUCAUCCAAAUCAAACCAAAUUGAAUCCUAUUCAAUUAGAAUUGAUCCAAGUUCAAUUGCUCAAUCAAAUUGAGUCAAUUAGUAAUCUAAUUGCUAAUCAAUAUUCCUACAACUCACUAACUCUUACUAGAUUACUUAAUUAUAAU
rnacentral:lncRNA from 1 species